rnacentral:rRNA from 1 species
GGAUGCGAUCAUACCUGCACUAAUGCACCGGAUCCAAUGAGAACUCCGCAGUUAAGCGUGCUUGGGCGAGAGAAGUACUAGGAUGGGUGACCUCCUGGGAAGUCCUCGUGUUGCACCCC